rnacentral:rRNA from 1 species
UACGGAGGAUGCAAGCGUUAUCCGGAAUGAUUGGGCGUAAAGCGUCCGCAGGUGGCUGUGUAAGUCUGCUGUUAAAGAGUGAGGCUCAACCUCAUAAAAGCAGUGGAAACUACACGGCUAGAGUGCGUUCGGGGCAGAGGGAAUUCCUGGUGUAGCGGUGAAAUGCGUAGAUAUCAGGAAGAACACCGGUGGCGAAAGCGCUCUGCUAGGCCGCAACUGACACUCAGGGACGAAAGCUAGGGGAGCGAAUGGG